rnacentral:rRNA from 1 species
AGAAUCAACGCUGGCGGCGUGCCUAACACAUGCAAGUCGCACGAGAAAGUGGAGCAAUCCAUGAGUAAAGUGGCGCACGGGUGAGUAACACGUGAAUAAUCUACCUCCGAGUGGGGAAUAACUGAGAGAAAUCUUAGCUAAUACCGCAUAACACUUACGAGUCAAAGCAGCAAUGCGCUUGGAGAGGAGUUCGCGGCAGAUUAGUUAGUUGGCGGGGUAAUGGCCCACCAAGACGAUGAUCGGUA